rnacentral:rRNA from 1 species
CAAGCGUUUUCCAUGAUCAAUUGGAGGGCAAGUCUGGUGCCAGCAGCCGCGGUAAUUCCAGCUCCAAUAGGAUAUAUCAAAGUUGUUGCAGUUGAAAAGCUCGUAGUCGUAUUUCUGGUGGGUUGAUGUUCUGGGCGGGGUGACGAAAGUUGCUCCGGGUCAGGGCCGCCUGCCAUUUUGUGGGCCAACGUGGCCAGGGGUGGUUCACUCUGCACCUGGUCGCGCCACUCCGUCACUGAGAGCAAAUUGGAGUGCUCAAAGCAGGCUUUACAGCUUUGAACAUCUCAGCUUGGAAUGACAAAGUAUGACUUUUUGUUCACUUUGUUGGUUAUGAAUGAGAAGUAAUGAUAAAUAGGAACAGUUGCGGGGGUACUCGUACUGGAAAGUCAGAGGUGAAAUUCUUGGAUUUUUCCACGACGAACGACUGCGAAAGCAUUUACCAAGGAUGUUUUCAUUGAUCAAGAACGAAAGUGCGAGGAUCGAAGAUGAUUAGAUACCAUCGUAGUUCGCACAGUAAACGAUGCCGACUCGGGAUUGAGUUCCCUUCGUUUUUAGAAGGAUCUCAGCACCGUAUGUGAAAACAAAGUCUUUGGGUUCCGGGGGGAGUAUGAUCGCAAGGUUGAAACUUAAAGGAAUUGACGGAAGGGCACACCAGAGGUGGAGCCUGCGGUUUAAUUUGACCCAACACGGGGAAACUCACCAGGUCCAGACAUGAGAAGGAUUGACAGUUUGAAAGCACUUUCUUGAUUUCAUGGGUGGUGGUGCAUGGCCGUUCUUAGUUGGUGGAGUGAUUUGUCUGGUUGAUUCCGAUAACGAACGAGACUCUCAGAGUAAACUGGCUUGGUCGUAAUUCGCGUUACUUCCGGCCUCUUUUCUCGACAAUUCGUUUCAAACGAAAGGAAGCGGAGAGCAAUAACAGGUCUGUGAUGCCCCUCGAUGUUCUGGGCCACACGCGCGCUACAAUGACGAGUUCAACGAGUUUUUUUCUCCUUGCCCGGAAGGGUGUGGGUAAUCUUUUCAAUGCUCGUCGUGAUGGGGCUAGAUUUUUGCAAUUAUUAAUCUUCAACGAGGAAUCUCUAGUAUGUGCAGUUCAUCAGACUGCGCAGAAUGCGUCCCUGCCCUUUGUACACACCGCCCGUCGCACCUACCGAUUGGACGAUCCGGCAAGAUGUUUGGAGUUGUGUCAGUUGGACUUUCGGGUUCGAUUGACGCGACGAAACUCCU